UACGUAGGUGGCAAGCGUUGUCCGGAUUUACUGGGCGUAAAGAGCGCGCAGGCGGUCGUUCAAGUCGCGUGUGAAAGCCCCCGGCUCAACUGGGGAGGGUCACGCGAUACUGAUCGACUCGAAGGCAGGAGAGGGAAGUGGAAUUCCCGGUGUAGUGGUGGAAUGCGUUGAUAUCGACCGGAACUCCGGUGGCGAAGGCGAGGUGCUGGGCCCUUUCUGACGCUGAUGCGCGAAAGCCAGGGGAGCAAACGGG
rnacentral:rRNA from 1 species